GUUGAACGCUGGCGGCGUGCCUAAUACAUGCAAGUCGAGCGAACGGACGAGAAGCUUGCUUCUCUGAUGUUAGCGGCGGACGGGUGAGAAACACGUGGAUAACCUACCUAUAAGACUGGGAUAACUUCGGGAAACCGUAGCUAAUACCGGAUAAUAUUUUGAACCGCAUGGUUCAAAAGUGAAAGACGGUCUUGCUGUCACUUAUAGAUGGAUCCGCGCUGCAUUAGCUAGUUGGUAAGGUAACGGCUUACCAAGGCAACGAUGCAUAGCCGACCUGAGAGGGUGAUCGGCCACACUGGAACUGAGACACGGUCCAGACUCCUACGGGAGGCAGCAGUAGGGAAUCUUCCGCAAUGGGCGAAAGCCUGACGGAGCAACGCCGCGUGAGUGAUGAAGGUCUUCGGAUCGUAAAACUCUGUUAUUAGGGAAGAACAUAUGUGUAAGUAACUGUGCACAUCUUGACGGUACCUAAUCAGAAAGCCACGGCUAACUACGUG
rnacentral:rRNA from 1 species